UUCACCAGUUUCUCUGCACGAAUACCGAGAGAAACCGAGCGGUGUUCUUCGUGUUCUUCAUAAUCAAACGAAGAUUUGAAGAUGUUAUUGGAGUCAGAAUCAAGCGUGCAAAUAGUCAAAUCGAAGAUAUCGAAGAGUAGAACCCAAAUCAAUCAUCAAAAACAACAUGAGAUUCACAGAAAGGCUUAAAGAUGAGUGGCUAGACUGUGAUGGUGAAUAAGGCUAAUGCUAGGCGAGGAGACAGAGUUGAGGAUUCAGUGGUCAAGAAGUGUCCAGGAAGAUUGAUAAGGUUGAUGCUAGCUCGAGUUGUGCUAUUGAGAUUCAGAUGUAAGUCAUAGCUGGAAUAGUUGACAGUGAUUCUUCUUAUCGAAGAUGAUCUGAUUUGGUAAGAGAUGUUGGGUAAUAAUAGUGGUUGAUUCUAAUUUCAAUACUGUAACCUGGAAGCGAUCCUGUUGUUUUGGGGGUGAAGAUGUUCUCUUUCAAAUCUUUCAUUUAACGUCUUUCAGAUCUUUUAUUA